rnacentral:rRNA from 1 species
ACUCAAAUGAAUUGACGGGGGCCCGCACAAGCGGCGGAGCAUGCGGAUUAAUUCGAUGCAACGCGAAGAACCUUACCUGGAUUUGACAUAUAGGGAAAACUGUCAGAGAUGGCAGGUCCGUAAGGGCCCUAUACAGGUGGUGCAUGGCUGUCGUCAGCUCGUGUCGUGAGAUGUUGGGUUAAGUCCCGCAACGAGCGCAACCCUCGUCCUAUGUUGCCAGCACGUAAUGGUGGGGACUCAUAGGAGACUGCCGGGGUAACUCGGAGGAAGGUGGGGAUGAGGUCAAGUCAUCAUGCCCCUUAUGUCCAGGGCUUCACGCAUGCUACAAUGGCCGGUACAAAGGGCUGCGAAACCGCAAGGUAGAGCGAAUCCCAAAAAGCCGGUCUCAGUUCGGAUUGGGGUCUGCAACUCGACCCCAUGAAGUCGGAGUCGCUAGUAAUCGCAGAUCAGCAACGCUGCGGUGAAUACGUUCCCGGGCCUUGUACACACCGCCCGU